rnacentral:lncRNA from 1 species
CUGUCAGGUAUCCCAUCUGUUUCAGUGCCCUGCCUGUUGCAAGCCUCCUGGCCCAUGCUGGCCAGUUCUUCUCUUGUCAGGGAAGUUAGAGAAAGAAGCCACCUUCCUGCCCUCCUGCGUGUGGUGUGAAGAGAGGUGCCUUACAAGCAAGUGCCUUCAUGGUGAGGAUAAGCUCACAGGCUCAAGGAAGAAACACAAUUGUAAGAACAACAAUGUGGAAAAGGCAGGAUCCAAGUAUUUUGAGCCACUCUUGAUGAUAGAAUUGGUGAUGUGACAGCCACCAAAGGAAUGUGACACAAAGUAGAAAUGAGAGCUGAGAUGUAGCCUGGACCUUUACCAUGGAAAUGCCCAUAAAUUGCGUCCCUAUUCCUUAAGAUUUUAUUUAAAGUUAUUUUCAGAAUGUUGUGCAGUUUCCAAUCAUACCAAAAUCUUCAAAAAAAAAAACCCCACAUAAUUUACAUUUUAAAAGCACUAUUGUUGUCAUGAUAAUGGUGGCAAGUAAUUUUCAAAUUUGGGUUAUUUUAGAAACAGAUUAAAAGAAGACAACUAUAAUAUAAUCCCAAUAAACAAAAGCAAAUAAAAAGGCUAAAUCAUGG